CCUAAGGUAGCGAAAUUCCUUGUCAGGUAAGUUCUGACCCGCACGAAUGGCGUAACGACUUGAGAGCUGUCUCAACAACAUACCCGGCGAAAUUGAAGUACUGGUAAAGAUGCCAGUUACCCGUGAUAAGACGGAAAGACCCCAUGGAGCUUUACUGUAACUUGAUAUUGAAUUUUUGUAUUACAUGUACAGGAUAGGUGGGAGACAGAGAACUAAUGCCGCCAGGUGUUAGGGAGUCGAUGUUGGGAUACCACUCUUGUAAUAUGAAGGUUCUAACCUGCACCCGUGAAUCCGGGUGGGGGACACUGUCAGGUGGACAGUUUGACUGGGGCGGUCGCCUCCUAAAAGGUAACGGAGGCGUUCAAAGGUUGGUUCAGCACGGACGGAAAUCGUGCAACGAGUGCAAACGCAUAAACCAGCCUAACUGCGAGACCGACAAGUCGAGCAGUAACGAAAGUUGGAGUUAGUGAUCCGGCGGUAUGAGAGUGGAAUUGCCGUCGCUCAACGGAUAAAAGCUACCCUGGGGAUAACAGGCUGAUCUCCCCCAAGAGUCCACAUCGACGGGGAGGUUUGGCACCUCGAUGUCGGCUCAUCGCAUCCUGGGGCUGUAGUAGGUCCCAAGGGUUGGGCUGUUCGCCCAUUAAAGCGGUACGCGAGCUGGGUUCAGAACGUCGCGAGACAGUUCGGUCCCUAUCUAUCACGGGCGUAGGAAAUUUGAGGAGAGCUGACCUUAGUACGAGAGGACCGGGUUGGACGUACCGCUGGUGCACCUGUUGUUCUGCCAAGGGCAUAGCAGGGUAGCUAAGUACGGACGGGAUAAACGCUGAAGGCAUCUAAGCGUGAAGCCCCCUUCGAGAUAAGAUUUCCCAUAGCGUAGGCUAGUAAGGACCCAUGAAGACUACAUGGUUGAUAGGCCGGAGGUGGAAGUGCAGUAAUGUAUGCAGCUGACCGGUACUAAUAGUCCGAGGGCUUGACCAA
rnacentral:rRNA from 1 species